UGAGCAAUCUGCCCAUCUCUUUGGAAUAAGCGUUGGAAACGACGUCUAAUGCCGAAUACGACCUCCUUUCGCAUGAUCGGAGGUGGAAAGCUCCGGCGGAGAAGGAUGAGCUCGCGGCCUAUCAGCUAGUUGGUGUGGGUAACGCCCACCAAGGCGACGACGGGUAGCCGGCCUGAGAGGGUGACCGGCCACACUGGGACUGAGACACGGCCCAGACUCCUACGGGAGGNAG
rnacentral:rRNA from 1 species